GAUGAACGCUGGCGGCGUGCCUAAUACAUGCAAGUCGAGCGAACAGAUAAGGAGCUUGCUCCUUUGACGUUAGCGGCGGACGGGUGAGUAACACGUGGGUAACCUACCUAUAAGACUGGGAUAACUUCGGGAAACCGGAGCUAAUACCGGAUAACAUUUGGAACCGCAUGGUUCUAAAGUGAAAGAUGGUUUUGCUAUCACUUAUAGAUGGACCCGCGCCGUAUUAGCUAGUUGGUAAGGUAACGGCUUACCAAGGCGACGAUACGUAGCCGACCUGAGAGGGUGAUCGGCCACACUGGAACUGAGACACGGUCCAGACUCCUACGGGAGGCAGCAGUAGGGAAUCUUCCGCAAUGGGCGAAAGCCUGACGGAGCAACGCCGCGUGAGUGAUGAAGGGUUUCGGCUUGUAAAACUCUGUUAUUAGGGAAGAACAAAUGUGUAAGUAACUGUGCACGUCUUGACGGUACCUAAUCAGAAAGCCACGGCCAACUACGUG
rnacentral:rRNA from 1 species